rnacentral:rRNA from 1 species
UACGUAGGGUGCGAGCGUUAAUCGGAAUUACUGGGCGUAAAGCGUGCGCAGGCGGUUACAUAAGACAGAUGUGAAAUCCCCGGGCUUAACCUGGGAACUGCGUUUGUGACUGUGUGACUAGAGUACGGCAGAGGGGGUGGAAUUCCGUGGUGUAGCAGUGAAAUGCGUAGAUAUCGAGAGGAACACUAAGGGCGAAGGCAAGACUCUGGACAAGUGCUGACGCUCAUGCACGAAGGCUAGGGUAGCGAACGGG